rnacentral:rRNA from 1 species
GGAAUAUUGGUCAAUGGACGCAAGUCUGAACCAGCUAUGCCGCGUGAAGGAUUAAGGUCCUCUGGAUUGUAAACUUCUUUUAUCUGGGACGAAAAAAGGUCUUUCUAGAUCACUUGACGGUACCAGAUGAAUAAGCACCGGCUAACUCCGUGCCAGCAGCCGCGGUAAUACGGAGGGUGCAAGCGUUAUCCGGAUUCACUGGGUUUAAAGGGUGCGUAGGCGGGCAGGUAAGUCAGUGGUGAAAUCCUGGAGCUCAACUCCAGAACUGCCAUUGAUACUAUCUGUCUUGAAUAUUGUGGAGGUAAGCGGAAUAUGUCAUGUAGCGGUGAAAUGCUUAGAUAUGACAUAGAACACCCAUUGCGAAGGCAGCUUACUACGCAUAUAUUGACGCUGAGGCACGAAAGCGUGGGGAUCAAACAGGAUUAGAUACCCUGGUAGUCCACGCCCUAAACGAUGGAUACUCGACAUACGCGAUACACUGUGUGUGUCUGAGCGAAAGCAUUAAGUAUCCCACCUGGGAAGUACGUUCGCAAGAAUGAAACUCAAAUGAAUUGACGG